AGUUGUCCAUCAUUCAGUUAGGGCGACUCUAGCGAGACUGCCGGUAAUAAACCGGAGGAAGGUGGGGAUGAUGUCAAAUCAUCAUGCCCCUUAUGACCUGGGCUACACACGUGCUACAAUGGUUGGUACAACGAGUUGCGAGUCGGUGACGGCGAGCUAAUCUCUUAAAGCCAAUCUCAGUUCGGAUUGUAGGCUGCAACUCGCCUACAUGAAGUCGGAAUCGCUAGUAAUCGCGGAUCAGCACGCCGCGGUGAAUACGUUCCCGGGCCUU
rnacentral:rRNA from 1 species